rnacentral:rRNA from 1 species
ACCUGAUUCAGCGGCGGACGGGUGAGUAAUGCCUAGGAAUCUGCCCGAUAGUGGGGGACAACGUUUCGAAAGGAACGCUAAUACCGCAUACGUCCUACGGGAGAAAGUGGGGGAUCUUCGGACCUCACGCUAUCGGAUGAGCCUAGGUCGGAUUAGCUAGUUGGUGAGGUAAUGGCUCACCAAGGCGACGAUCCGUAACUGGUCUGAGAGGAUGAUCAGUCACACUGGAACUGAGACACGGUCCAGACUCCUACGGGAGGCAGCAGUGGGGAAUAUUGGACAAUGGGCGAAAGCCUGAUCCAGCCAUGCCGCGUGUGUGAAGAAGGUCUUCGGAUUGUAAAGCACUUUAAGUUGGGAGGAAGGGCAGUAAGCUAAUACCUUGCUGUUUUGACGUUACCAACAGAAUAAGCACCGGCUAACUUCGUGCCAGCAGCCGCGGUAAUACGAAGGGUGCAAGCGUUAAUCGGAAUUACUGGGCGUAAAGCGCGCGUAGGUGGUUCAGCAAGUUGGAUGUGAAAUCCCCGGGCUCAACCUGGGAACUGCAUCCAAAACUACUGAGCUAGAGUACAGUAGAGGGUGGUGGAAUUUCCUGUGUAGCGG